rnacentral:rRNA from 1 species
CCUACGGGAGGCAGCAGUGGGGAAUUUUGGACAAUGGGCGCAAGCCUGAUCCAGCAAUGCCGCGUGAGUGAUGAAGGCCUUAGGGUUGUAAAGCUCUUUUACCAGGGAUGAUAAUGACAGUACCUGGAGAAUAAGCUCCGGCUAACUCCGUGCCAGCAGCCGCGGUAAU